rnacentral:rRNA from 1 species
ACGUAGGGCGCAAGCGUUAUCCGGAAUUAUUGGGCGUAAAGAGCUCGUAGGCGGUUUGUCGCGUCUGCCGUGAAAGUCCGGGGCUCAACUCCGGAUCUGCGGUGGGUACGGGCAGACUAGAGUGAUGUAGGGGAGACUGGAAUUCCUGGUGUAGCGGUGAAAUGCGCAGAUAUUAGGAAGAACACCGGUGGCGAAGGCGGCCCACUGGUCCGGUACUGACGCUGAGGUGCGAAAGCGUGGGGAGCAAACAGGA